AAUGAGACUUUUGAAGUUCACAGAUAUUUUCAUAUUUCGUUGUUAAAAAUACCAUUCCUAAGGUCACUGCUAUUCUAUAACCACACACACACACAAACACACAAAGUGACUCUUACAAAAAUGGUUUCAGUGAAAUGUCAAGAUUUGUUUUCUAAUAAAACUUUUAAUAUAUAGAAAUAAUUUCCAAAUGUCAAAUAUUAAAUGUCAAAAUUUUGAUUUGUUUUACAACAGAUUGACGUGUGUCACCGUUGUAAAUUUUGGGGGAAAUUGUUUUGUCACUGUUGUUCAACCUGUUUAUGGUUAUGUGCGACGAUUUGUGUUCGGUUGUUUGGGCGUGGAGAUGGAAACCUUUUCAGAUGAGGCGACUCUUCGACUUCUUCGAUAUUCGAAUACCAAUAGAAAUCAAUCGGUUCUGUUCGGUGUGCGGAGACAGAAAAGAAAAUAAAAUAUGAAUACUUUUGCACUACUGAUUCACCUCUCUCAUCGUCGCCGCUUCGAUUCUAAUUCGGUCCUAUUCGCACCGUUUGCGUGGGCGUAACAACACAACUCAUCUUCCGAAACCGUAACACGCGCACAUAUCUCAUCUCAUCUCACCGUUGGAAACAUAAUACACCUCGAACGGAGGAAGAUGGAAGACGCGGAAAGAAGUAGAAGGACCAAUUAAAAACGAUGCUCGUCGUUGCAUCACUUUCGACACACUUUCCUGGAAAAGAAAACAAAUUCUGGAAAUAGCCUGGAUCUCAACCCGAUCCUCCACCCAGAUUAUCUCCCCGGCGUUACAUAGAAACCGUUUCCAUGCGACACAUUCGUUUUGUUGUUUGCUUCAUCUGUUUUUUGUUGUUGUUGUUGUUUACUUGUUGCUACUGUUGUUGCCGGUUGUGCAGAAGUGCAACAAACACAGCAGUUGGCAAGCGUCGAGGUCCGACCUGCAUUUCCCAAAUAACUCGCAAAAACGGACACGAUUAUUUCUUAUUAAAUAAUCCCGCGUUCGCGUCCAAAUUUAAAGGACGCGUUACGUAAUUGCCGGAUUUACGAUCGCCGACCAGUGUAAACGUCCGGCAAAGAUAACAUUUCAUCCAGAAUCCCAAAUCCAAACGCUACUUAUAACUCGUAGUUAUGACAACCGGAUUUUCUCUUGUUUUUAAUGCAAACGUCAACUCUCCUAAUUCAUCUUAAACGAUCCACAACGCAUCACUUGUAGCUAUGACAACACACUUUGUAAAUCGAUUCAGAAUCUGUUCAAAAGUACCAUUUUUUUAUUUA